AAAACUGAAGAGCAAGUAAGCAUGCUCUGGGAUGACUGGGCUCAGGGGUGCUUCGGGCCUCCCCACAGUAGAUAAGCAUUCCUACCAGGGUUCCCUACCCCAUCUACCUUCUGUGUUCAGGAAAUAAAUUACUGAGCAGGAUAAUCCAAUGCCCUACCUUGGACCACAUGACUAUAUCUAUAAUCAGAGGGAAAAAGUCUGCUGAUUAAAACCUCACUGAAGCCACACAGACUAAGAAGGAUGGAUCUCCCUAAAGGAAAGAGGCACAAUUACUAGAACAAGAGAGGGGAUGCUUGGCAGAAAAAAACAGAUUCCAUGCCCAGUCCUGCAAGUUCUGCAAGUUGUCAUCAAUCCUUCUAGAGAGUCAUUUUUUAAAAGUUCUAGCCAAUGGCACUACCUCCUCACUCAUAUUCUUGCCCAGACCUUUCCUACCCACCCACCUGCCUGCCUGUUGGGCCUUUUGUGAUUCCAGCCCCGCUUCACCACUGGGAGCCCUGUCAAGCUUAAUUACCUUAGGGGCUGAGGCUCUUUAUGCAGGUGAACUGGGGCACAAAAUAUCAUCUAUUCAGUGGGUAAGCCUAGGUACCCCAAACACAAGGAUUUUAGCUUUUCUCACGUACAGAACCAUACAAUUUCUACACAACUGAUGAAUCAAUAAAUGCAAAAAGGGAGAUCUUCACCCAGAGACAACACAAAGAAACUCAGGAAGCAAAGCUGUAAGCCAGCCUCUCCCUCUGUGCACUCCCUGCCUUGGUGUGCUCACUCAUGCUAUUUGAACAGCUGACAGAGGCUUGGCCUGGUCUUCUGAGACCUCCACAACAUCACAUUAGACAAUAACUCUAUAUUUAGCCAUGAGUGAAAUAGAAAAGGAAGGGAAUCAGGGCCAAACAGACUAAGAUGAACAGAGAAGUCUGGACUUUCAUUUGUAAUGUUUCUUAGCAAAACAAGGGGAUGUUUGGAUGCUGGGUCUGUUUAUUUAGACUCAAGAUCUCAUAUCCUAAUGUGAACUUUCUGGACAAUGUCUUUUGAUUCCUUUAAUCUCUCUGUGGCCUUUUUCUACCCAGUACAAAACAGCUGGAUGAAAAGUCACACCUGCAUUCCACAAGUAGAAAAAUAUAAUUCAGUCUAAUUCAGUUUUCGGUGUAACAUAAUCACUAGAAGUAGGGAUUCUUGGAUUCUGAUCUAACUGCCAACCACUGCCUAACUUGAGGGGAAUUGCUUUUCUUCUGUGGGCCUCAGUUUUCUCAUCCCUUGAGUGAAGAUGCUGAACAUCACAUUUUCUAAAGACUGUUUCUUCCUGUUUUGAGGUUUAAUGAAGUUAGGGUCAGAGGGACUUCUAGGAAUAAAUGCUUCCAGUGUUCAGGUAACACAAGUUUCUCCUGAGGAGAAAUACAGGAAAAUUAAAGGGCUCCAUUUGCCCAUCUUGAUUCAGCUGGGGGUGAGGAGCUGAAAAGGACACCUGCUGAUGCUACUCAUGAACUGUGUAGCAUCAUUCUUUGAGAGCACUGGUUAUGUAGCAUUUGGGAUGAUGAUAAAAGUCAAGGAUCAGCAAACUUUUUCUGUAAAGGAUCAGAUGAGAAAUGUUUUAGGCUAUGCUGACCUAGAGUCUCUGUUGCAAGUAUUCGACAAUGCUACUGUAGUAUGAAAGCAGACAUAAAAUACAUACAUGAAUGAGUGUGAUUGCAUUCUAUUACAAAAACAGUAGUGGGGACAUAAGCUGUAGUUGUCUGACCCCUGAUAUAAGUGAUGGUCUUUGUGAUUAGAAAUGUAUAACCUUAUCCUCCCUCCCACUUCACAGACAAAUGUAAGUCCUGCAGGAGUUUAUUAUUACCAAGAGAGUUUGGAAAAUGUUUCAAAGCCAUAAAUAGUUUAGAAUAAUAAUAAAACUGUGAAGAUCAGUGAACUAGGAAACAAAAGAUGUAGAUUGAGGCCAAAUGCAACCAUUUAACUAGUUGGCAAAUGAUUUAACCUCUAUGAAUCUAGGUUUCCUCAUGUCCAGUUUUUUUGGAAAUGGUACAUGCUGUGCCUGGGUUCAAAUUCCAGCUCUAUUCUUUAUAAGCUGUACAGUCUUGAACAUGUUGCUUAACCUCUUCAUGUUUCAGGUGCUUCACAAUCAAAGCAGAAGGCGAAGCAAAAGCAGGCACCUUGUUCACAAGGCAGCAGGAGAGAGACUGCCAGCAGGGGAAAUGCCAGAAGCUUAUAAAACCGUCAGAUCUCGUGAC
rnacentral:lncRNA from 1 species